AUCCUGAGUACGGCGGAACACGUGAAAUUCCGUCGGAAUCCGGGAGGACCAUCUCCCAAGGCUAAAUACUACCUAGUGACCGAUAGUGAACCAGUACCGUGAGGGAAAGGUGAAAAGCACCCCGGGAGGGGAGUGAAAUAGAACCUGAAACCGUGUGCCUACAAGUAGUUAGAGCCCGUUAAUGGGUGAUAGCGUGCCUUUUGUAGAAUGAACCGGCGAGUUACGAUUACGUGCAAGGUUAAGUUGAGAAGACGGAGCCGCAGCGAAAGCGAGUCUGAAUAGGGCGAAUGAGUACGUGGUCGUAGACCCGAAACCAGGUGAUCUACCCAUGUCCAGGGUGAAGGUAAGGUAACACUUACUGGAGGCCCGAACCCACGCACGUUGAAAAGUGCGGGGAUGAGGUGUGGGUAGCGGAGAAAUUCCAAUCGAACUUGGAGAUAGCUGGUUCUCUCCGAAAUAGCUUUAGGGCUAGCCUCGUGAUAGAGAAUACUGGAGGUAGAGCACUGUUUGGACUAGGGGGGCAUCUCGCUUUACCGAAUUCAGACAAACUCCGAAUGCCAGAUAUUUAUACACGGGAGUCAGACUGCGAGUGAUAAGAUCCGUAGUCAAAAGGGAAACAGCCCAGACCACCAGCUAAGGUCCCAAAGUAAUCGUUAAGUGGAAAAGGAUGUGGCGUUGCUUAGACAACCAGGAUGUUGGCUUAGAAGCAGCCAUCAUUUAAAGAGUGCGUAAUAGCUCACUGGUCGAGUGACGCUGCGCCGAAAAUGUAUCGGGGCUAAACGAUUCACCGAAGCUGUGGAUUGACAUCUAUGAUGUCAGUGGUAGGAGAGCGUUCUAAGUGCGUUGAAGUCAGACCGGAAGGACUGGUGGAGCGCUUAGAAGUGAGAAUGCCGGUAUGAGUAGCGAAAGAUGGGUGAGAAUCCCAUCCACCGUAUGACUAAGGUUUCCUGAGGAAGGCUCGUCCGCUCAGGGUUAGUCGGGACCUAAGUCGAGGCCGACAGGCGUAGACGAUGGACAACAGGUUGAUAUUCCUGUACCACCUCCCCGCCGUUUGAGUAAUGGGGGGACGCAGUAGGAUAGGAAAAGCGUGCCGUUGGUUGUGCACGCCCAAGCAGUAAGGCGUGGAAGUAGGAAAAUCCGCUUCCUGUAACGUUGAGCUGUGAUGGGGAGCUCUUUAGAGCGAAGUUUCUGAUUUCACACUGCCAAGAAAAGCCUCUAGCGAGGCGGGAGGUGCCCGUACCGCAAACCGACACAGGUAGUCGAGGAGAGAAUCCUAAGGUGUGCGAGAGAACUCUCGUUAAGGAACUCGGCAAAAUGACCCCGUAACUUCGGGAGAAGGGGUGCUCUCGAGAGAGAGCCGCAGUGAAUAGGCCCAGGCGACUGUUUAGCAAAAACACAGGUCUCUGCAAAACCGUAAGGUGAAGUAUAGGGGCUGACGCCUGCCCGGUGCUGGAAGGUUAAGAGGAGGGGUUAGCUUACGCGAAGCUCUGAAUUGAAGCCCCAGUAAACGGCGGCCGUAACUAUAACGGUCCUAAGGUAGCGAAAUUCCUUGUCGGGUAAGUUCCGACCCGCACGAAAGGCGUAACGAUCUGGGCACUGUCUCAACGAGAGACUCGGUGAAAUUAUAGUACCUGUGAAGAUGCAGGUUACCCGCGACAGGACGGAAAGACCCCGUGGAGCUUUACUGUAGCUUGAUAUUGAAUUUUGGUGCAGCUUGUACAGGAUAGGUAGGAGCCAGAGAAACCGGAGCGCCAGCUUCGGUGGAGGCGUCGGUGGGAUACUACCCUGGCUGUACUGAAAUUCUAACCCGUGCCCCUAAUCGGGGUAGGAGACAGUGUCAGGUGGACAGUUUGACUGGGGCGGUCGCCUCCUAAAAGGUAACGGAGGCGCCCAAAGGUUCCCUCAGAAUGGUUGGAAAUCAUUCGUAGAGUGUAAAGGCACAAGGGAGCUUGACUGCGAGACCUACAAGUCGAGCAGGGUCGAAAGACGGGCUUAGUGAUCCGGUGGUUCCGCAUGGAAGGGCCAUCGCUCAACGGAUAAAAGCUACCCCGGGGAUAACAGGCUUAUCUCCCCCAAGAGUCCACAUCGACGGGGAGGUUUGGCACCUCGAUGUCGGCUCAUCGCAUCCUGGGGCUGUAGUCGGUCCCAAGGGUUGGGCUGUUCGCCCAUUAAAGCGGUACGCGAGCUGGGUUCAGAACGUCGUGAGACAGUUCGGUCCCUAUCCGUCGUGGGCGUAGGAAAUUUGAGAGGAGCUGUCCUUAGUACGAGAGGACCGGGAUGGACACACCGCUGGUGUACCAGUUGUCUUGCCAAAGGCAUCGCUGGGUAGCUAUGUGUGGACGGGAUAAGUGCUGAAAGCAUCUAAGCAUGAAGCCCCCCUCAAGAUGAGAUUUCCCAUUCAUUAGAAGUAAGAUCCCUCAAAGACGAUGAGGUAGAUAGGUUCGAGGUGGAAGUGUGGUGACACAUGGAGCUGACGAAUACUAAUCGAUCGAGGACUUAACCAA
rnacentral:rRNA from 2 species